UACAGAGGUUGCAAGCGUUAAUCGGAAUUACUGGGCGUAAAGCGCGCGUAGGUGGCAAGUUAAGUCGGAUGUGAAAUCCCUGGGCUCACCCUAGGAAUUGCAUUCGAUACUGGCUCGCUCGAGUUUGGUAGAGGAGAGUGGGAUUCCCGGUGUAGCGGUGAAAUGCGUAGAUAUCGGGAGGAACAGCAGUGGCGAAGGCGGCUCUCUGGACCAAAACUGACGCUGAGGCGCGACAGCGUGGGGAUCAAACAGG
rnacentral:rRNA from 1 species